UACGUAGGGGGCAAGCGUUGUCCGGAUUUAUUGGGCGUAAAGCGCUCGCAGGUGGUUCGUUGCGUCGUGCGUGAAAGACCCCGGCUCAACUGGGGAGGGUCGUGCGAUACGGGCGAACUGGAGGCCAGUAGAGGGAUGCGGAAUUCCAGGUGUAGCGGUGAAAUGCGUAGAUAUCUGGAGGAACACCGGUGGCGAAGGCGGCAUCCUGGACCAAUACUGACGCUGAGGAGCGAAAGCCAGGGGAGCAAACGGG
rnacentral:rRNA from 1 species